rnacentral:rRNA from 1 species
GACGAACGCUGGCGGCGUGCUUAACACAUGCAAGUCGAACGAUGAAGCCCUUUCGGGGGUGGAUUAGUGGCGAACGGGUGAGUAACACGUGGGUAACCUGCCCUGUACCCUGGGAUAAGCCUUGGAAACGAGGUCUAAUACCGGAUAUGACCUGCUCUCGCAUGGGGGUGGGUGGAAAGUUUUGGCGGUGCAGGAUGGACCCGCGGCCUAUUAGCUUGUUGGUGGGGUGAUGGCCUACCAAGGCGACGACGGGUAGCCGGCCUGAGAGGGCGACCGGCCACACUGGGACUGAGACACGGCCCAGACUCCUACGGGAGGCAGCAGU